rnacentral:rRNA from 1 species
AACGAACGCUGGCGGCGCGCCUAAUACAUGCAAGUCGAGCGAGAAGGUGUAGCAAUACACUUGUAAAGCGGCGAACGGGUGAGGAAUGCAUGGGUAACCUACCCUCGAGUGGGGAAUAACUAGCCGAAAGGUUAGCUAAUACCGCAUACGUUUCCGGAACUUCGGUUUCGGAAAGAAAGCAAUACCGUGGGUAUUGCGCUCCUGGAUGGGCUCAUGUCCUAUCAGCUUGUUGGUGAGGUAACGGCUCACCAAGGCUUCGACGGGUAGCUGGUCUGAGAGGACGAUCAGCCACACUGGCACUGCGACACGGGCCAGACUCCUACGGGAGCAGCAGUAAGGAAUAUUGCGCAAUGGACGAAAGUCUGACGCAGCGACGCCGCGUGGGGGGAUGAAGGUCUUCGGAUUGUAAACCCCUUUCGGGAGGGAAGAUGGAGUGGGUAACCACUUGGACGGUACCUCCAGAAGCAGCCACGGCUAACUUCGUGCCAGCAGCCGCGGU